GAUGAACGCUGGCGGCGUGCUUAACACAUGCAAGUCGAGCGAAGCACUUUUAAGGAAGUUUUCGGAUGGAAUUAAAAGUGACUGAGCGGCGGACGGGUGAGUAACGCGUGGGUAACCUGCCUCAUACAGGGGGAUAACAGUUGGAAACGACUGCUAAUACCGCAUAAGCGCACAGUGCUGCAUGGCACGGUGUGAAAAACUCCGGUGGUAUGAGAUGGACCCGCGUCUGAUUAGGUAGUUGGUGAGGUAACGGCCCACCAAGCCGACGAUCAGUAGCCGACCUGAGAGGGUGACCGGCCACAUUGGGACUGAGACACGGCCCAAACUCCUACGGGAGGCAGCAGUGGGGAAUAUUGGACAAUGGGGGAAACCCUGAUCCAGCGACGCCGCGUGAGUGAAGAAGUAUUUCGGUAUGUAAAGCUCUAUCAGCAGGGAAGAAAAUGACGGUACCUGACUAAGAAGCCCCGGCUAACUACGUGCCAGCAGCCGCGGUAAUACGUAGGGGGCAAGCGUUAUC
rnacentral:rRNA from 1 species